rnacentral:rRNA from 1 species
GAUCNUGGCUCAGAGCGAACGCUGGCGGCAGGCUUAACACAUGCAAGUCGAGCGGGCAUAGCAAUAUGUCAGCGGCAGACGGGUGAGUAACGCGUGGGAACGUACCUUUUGGUUCGGAACAACACAGGGAAACUUGUGCUAAUACCGGAUAAGCCCUUACGGGGAAAGAUUUAUCGCCGAAAGAUCGGCCCGCGUCUGAUUAGCUAGUUGGUGAGGUAACGGCUCACCAAGGCGACGAUCAGUAGCUGGUCUGAGAGGAUGAUCAGCCACAUUGGGACUGAGACACGGCCCAAACUCCUACGGGAGGCAGCAGUGGGGAAUAUUGGACAAUGGGCGCAAGCCUGAUCCAGCCAUGCCGCGUGAGUGAUGAAGGCCCUAGGGUUGUAAAGCUCUUUUGUGCGGGAAGAUAAUGACGGUACCGCAAGAAUAAGCCCGGCU